rnacentral:rRNA from 1 species
AUGUACCCACCAUCCAAGUGUUCCACCUCUCAGGAGCAAUUGUCCUAUUGUAAAACAACAGUUAGUUGUUUCAUCUUCUCAGAUAGUCCCACGAAUCCACUUGUCGGACAGUCCAAUCAAUCCAAAAGAAAGAAAAAUCAUUUCAUAAUUAGUGAACAGUUACAGUGGGAAAAGACAAACAACAAUAGGAUCUUAAAAAAACUCCAUGCACAAAUUUUUAUAACUGCAGAUCCUCUCCCAUUCUCCACAUUCGUUUACGAAAGAAAUUCAAAAGUACCAAUCCAAACAAUUGGAGUCCAAAAGAACUGGAUCAUCCUACAUCUUUGGCCAAACUGCCUGGUUGCAGUUGAGAUAAUGACUUUCUCAAAAUGA